rnacentral:tRNA from 1 species
GCCUGAGUGGCUCAGUUGGUUGAGUGUCUGACUUCAGCUCAGGUCAUGAUCUCAUGGUGCGUGAGUUCAAGCCCCGUGUCAGGCU